rnacentral:lncRNA from 1 species
GGGAGACGAAGCCAAGAGGGGGGAUCCCAGGCUGACUGCACUGAAUUUCCCAGGCAGUGCCCCCUUCCCCUACGCCCGCCGCCACUCGCCUGGUUGGGGUCAGUGGCCCGGAAGACGUGGCAGGCCAUGGGGGAGUCGGGGUUGUCGGGCUGCGCCUUGAUCAGGCUUGUUUUUCCUGCUCGAGUUUUAGUUGUGGGGGUUUCGCCAUCGCUAUCGCGAUAACAUCUCUUGUCAACGACAAAUCCGCCACCUACUGCAGAUGUUAGUAACUAGCCUCCUCUACCUGAGAAAGUAGUUGGACAAAGCUCUGCCAGUCAUACAUCAUCCGUAUCCCUUUGGUAAUUGCCAGUUGUAGCGACUGUCUCCUUGUUUACAUCUGUAGCAACAGCGGGGAUGACUCGCAGUAAAACGUUACUAUGGGUCCCGUUUUAACUGCCUAGAGAUAAAAAGUCUGUAGCUUGAGCUGAAGAGCUGGUCGGUGUAAUUUGAGGCUGCAUCAUUAUUAGGGCAGAGAGGGGUCACGUAGCACUCAGGUCACAGCCCACAGCAGUCUGAACUGACACACAAACUGUCGCAUUAGCGUUAUUUUCAUAGCAGUAUAAACCACUCAGCUUAUUUUCUGAGCAAACUAUUUUGCUCUUCAUAUUUUUCCAGUUUAACCAUCUAAUUUAUCCAUUUUGGUUUAUCAGUUGUAGUUUUCAGUUUUAACAUUCUGGUUUGGCAAGACCUCAAAUACAUAUCCUCUCAUGGCAUCCUCCAAGCCUUAAGGGACAUCCUGCAAUGUCCCUUGGGACAGGAGCGCUAAUGCAAAAAGUCUUAUGUAGGCAGAACACCAGCUUCAAUAUGUGCUACAGUGGUACAAGUUAAAGCCAGACUGGCAUUGCUUCCCUAAGCUAUUUUUGCACACUUUAACAUCUGAACUGCAUUGUUGUACAGUAGAUUUUACAACGAGGGUAACUAGAAGAAUAAUGGCCAAAUUUUUUGGAUCAUAAAACUAAAAAAUUUCUUGUCCCUCACUCUGCACAGUUAG